rnacentral:rRNA from 1 species
CAAAUGAAUUGACGGGGCCGCACAGGCGUGGAGCAUGUGGUUUAAUUCGAAGCAACGCGAAGAACCUUACCAGGUCUUGACAUCCCGAUGCUAUUUCUAGAGAUAGAAAGUUACUUCGGUACAUCGGUGACAGGUGGUGCAUGGUUGUCGUCAGCUCGUGUCGUGAGAUGUUGGGUUAAGUCCCGCAACGAGCGCAACCCCUAUUGUUAGUUGCCAUCAUUCAGUUGGGCACUCUAGCGAGACUGCCGGUAAUAAACCGGAGGAAGGUGGGGAUGACGUCAAAUCAUCAUGCCCCUUAUGACCUGGGCUACACACGUGCUACAAUGGUUGGUACAACGAGUUGCGAGUCGGUGACGGCGAGCUAAUCUCUUAAAGCCAAUCUCGGUUCGGAUUGUAGGCUGCAACUCGCCUACAUGAAGUCGGAAUCGCUAGUAAUCGCGGAUCAGCACGCCGCGGUCGAAUACGUUCCGGCCUU